AAGUCGUAACAAGGUUUCCGUAGGUGAACCUGCGGAAGGAUCAUUACCGAGUUAGGGUCUUCCGGGCCCGACCUCCAACCCUUUGUUUAACUACCAUGUUGCUUUGGCGGGCCCGUCUCACGACCGUCGAGAGCCUCCCAGGUUCCCGGCCAGCGCCCGCCAGUCGCCCCUUCAAAUCCUUCUUUAAUUGUGAUGUCUGAGCAAUAAACUUAAAUAGUUAAAACUUUCAACAACGGAUCUCUUGGUUCUG
rnacentral:misc_RNA from 1 species